rnacentral:tRNA from 1 species
GCGGGAGUAGCUCAGUGGUAGAGCAUCAGCUUCCCAAGCUGAGGGUCGCGGGUUCGACCCCCGUUUCCCGCUCUA